rnacentral:rRNA from 1 species
UGGGGAAUAUUGCACAAUGGGCGCAAGCCUGAUGCAGCCAUGCCGCGUGUGUGAAGAAGGCCUUCGGGUUGUAAAGCACUUUCAGCGAGGAGGAAGGUGGUGAACUUAAUACGUUCAUCAAUUGACGUUACUCGCAGAAGAAGCACCGGCUAACUCCGUGCCAGCAGCCGCGGUAAUACGGAGGGUGCAAGCGUUAAUCGGAAUUACUGGGCGUAAAGCGCACGCAGGCGGUUUGUUAAGUCAGAUGUGAAAUCCCCGGGCUCAACCUGGGAACUGCAUUUGAAACUGGCAAGCUAGAGUCUCGUAGAGGGGGGUAGAAUUCCAGGUGUAGCGGUGAAAUGCGUAGAGAUCUGGAGGAAUACCGGUGGCGAAGGCGGCCCCCUGGACGAAGACUGACGCUCAGGUGCGAAAAGCGUGGGGAGCAAAACAGGAUUAGAUACCCUGGUAGUCCACGCUGUAAAACGAUGUCGAUUUUGGAGGUUGUGCCCUUGAGGCGUGGCUUCCGGAGCUAACGCGUUAAAUCGACCGCCUGGGGAGUACGGCCGCAAGGUUAAAAACUCAAAAGGAAUUGACGGGGUCAUAGCUGUUUCCU